UACGUAGGGGGCUAGCGUUGUCCGGAUUUAUUGGGCGUAAAGAGCGUGUAGGCGGCCAGGUAGGUCUGGUGUGAAAACUCGAGGCUUAACCUCGAGAUGUCAUCGGAAACCAUCUGGCUAGAGUCCGGAAGAGGAGAGUGGAAUUCCUGGUGUAGCGGUGAAAUGCGCAGAUAUCAGGAGGAACACCGAUGGCGAAGGCAGGUCUCUGGGCCACUACUGACGCUGAGAAGCGAAAGCAUGGGGAGCGAACAGG
rnacentral:rRNA from 1 species